GAACGGCUUAUAAAACAAAAUUAACAAAAUAAUAAUAAUAACACACAUGUUCUCAUCUCCAUCCUUCAGGAAUUCAAGGAAAAUUUGAGAGAAGAACUGUGUAAACAGUUUCCUGAGUGUGGGAAAAAAGAUUUUGAAGUUAUUGUGAGUUUUACUAAUCCAUCAAACAUUUCUUAAAUGUUCAAUUGAUUUAAAAUAUGUGUCCAAGCUGCACUGGGCAUUAUUUGCAUGUGAAUAUAAACACAGGUUUCUCUGUAACAUUUGAUUUUAGGAUGUCCCUUUUGACUAUGGGAUGAAAAGUAAGGACCCCCUCAGAAAAGCAUAUUUCUAUCGCAAGGAUAACCCAGAUAAAGGAGAACCAAUCCCCAAAUCAAAGGUGUCCAGGCUUCUCCUUGAUUGUUUUUCUGAUGAGAUGUUUCGGGUUUACUGGAAGAACCAUGAAAACCUAGAAGGGGAAGAGAGAGGAGAAAGAAAAGGAAAUCAAAGAAGUCUUCAAAAAAUGGUGCAAGGACAAUGGCCUUGAGAUUGUAGAAGAGAGGUGAUGACCAUGACACCGACACCAGUGCUGCUGGUCAAGCAACUCCAGGAAAUGACCAGUCGAUCUGAACAUGUGAAAGAUUCAAAUAUCACGUUAUUGUGUGACUCUAGGGACUGUAGGGAGUUUUAUAUUUUUAAUAUUAAGCUGGUUUGAAUCAAUUAAUGUAGUUUGGGUAUUUUAAAUGUUUAAAUGUUAAAUUCCAUUAUUUCAUUUAAAUCUUAACUAUAUGAUUUAGUCUAGAUAUUAAAUGUUAUCAGAAUAUUAAAAAUCGAAUGACUUUUAAUCAGUUUUUUGUCAGUGAUACAAACUGAUACAAACUACUUCCUUCAACAUGUAUUAAUAUGAAAUAAGCUCUUGAUAAACUAAAAUUAAUCAUUUAUUUUACUGUUUCGACUACAUAUUGCACAUUUUCACAAGAAUCAAACUAAAUAGAUCACCUGGUUUCAAUACAUGCAGUUUUGUUCUGAAUUACUCAUUGUGUGGAAAUUCGUUAUUUAUAUCAGGUCAUCGCUAAAUUAAAUCUACAAAAGGUUUGAAUCUUUCAGCUUUUUUCUUGUUCCAAUUUGUUUCCUGCUGAU